rnacentral:rRNA from 1 species
CGAUACGAUCAAACCAACACUAAAUCAUUAGAUCCCAUUAGAACUCUAAAGUUAAAAGUGCUUGGGCGAGAGUAGUACCAAGAUGAGUGACCCCAUAGUAAGUCCUCGUGUUGCACCCU